GUUUUGUGAUAAAGAAGUACCUAUAUAUUCAAGAGAAAAGAAAGUGGAGGCAUGAAUUCAGAGAAUUAUUUAAGCCCAAUCCUCCAUGUGCUGAAUGAAAAUCGCAGGCCCAAACAAAAUUACAGGGAAAACGGUACUAGAAGAUAGCUACUGGAUUGCUUUAUUAUUACACAGUCUCCCAAACAACUUCUAUUUAAAGAAAAGGGAAGUGUUGAUUAUUCCUGGGCAAGAUGGCUGAAUAGGAGCAGCUCCAGUCUGCAGCUUCCAACGAGACCAACGCAAAAGGUCAGUGAUUUGUGCAUUUCCAACUAAGGUACCCGGUUCAUCUCACUGAGACUGGUUAGAUAGUGGGUGCAGCCCCCAGAGGGUGAGCAGAAGCAGGGUGGAGUGUCGCCUCACCUGGGAAGCGCAAGGGGUCGGGGAACUUCCUUUCCUAGCCAAGGGAAGCCAUGAGGGACCAUGCUGUGAGGGAUGGUGCUAUCCAGCUCAGACACUGUGCUUUUCCCAUGGUCUUCGCAAUCCGCAGACCAGGAGAUUCCCUCA
rnacentral:lncRNA from 1 species